UUAAUCAUGUUUUGUGUUCAUGUGUGCGAGUAUUUUAGUCUUCAUUGAUCAAGAGUUUUUUUUUUUUUGUAGGGCAGAAAAUAGAAUAGGGAAAGAUAGUCGUGUCACAUUUUUAAUUUUGUUUUAUCUUCAGUCUUCUAUGUUUGUGUUCCCUUAGCUAAUGGAGAAGGAAGAGGACAAAAGAGAGGUAUUUUCACACAUGAAUCUCUGUUUCUUCCCUUCCUCAGAGCUCACGAAGCAUCCGAACCCUUGAGUCGAGAUAGAGAAACAGUGAGUCUGCGCGGCGAGGUGAGGCAGUGCUCGCGUGGUAGCGGCGUGGCGCGGUGGUGGCGAUUGUAUGCAUUUGAUUAUACCUUAUCCUCAUUAAUACUGUACGUGAAGUGUUUACGUUCCGGCGGUUUGUGUCUUGUGAAGUGUUCGUUUGUUGGUGCAUCUCGUGAAGGAGUUUCUACCGCAGAUGACAAACCGUGCGGUGGUCACAACAGGGCAGGAUGAGAGUGUGGCGAGCAGCGGGCAGUGCCUCGAAGUCUGAGACAAAACCACGGGCCGGCGUUCACUACCUUGAGAGCCAUGGCGACUGUGACUGAAGCUGAUCACGAGUGAUGACCGAGGAGAGACGCGUCGCCUUAUAUACUAUGAAGUGUUGCUGCCUCGCUGACGUCACGCGAGGCGCGGCCUGAGAGACGCCGCCCGCAAUUGAAGGACGGACCUUUGAACUCGGUGGAGAGUAAUUGUAUCAUUGGUCAUGUUGUUCUUGAUAUUGAUGCUGCUCUUGCUGUUGGUGAUGGCAGCAAGAAGCUGCUGUGGUGCCUUUCUUCCAGUCUCAUAGGAGGGACACUCGGUGGCGGAAGGCAAGGUGGUGAUAAUGAGACAUGGAAUCGAAGCAGUAAAGUGGUGGUGCUCUGUGUCCUGGAGGUCAAGACUUUGCCUGGAGUGCUGUGGUGAAUAUCACGUGUGCUGGCAAUGUGCCACCGGCGAGCGUCAUGCAAUAUAUUGGCAAAUAUUUGCUACACAGCAACGCAAGGCAACGGUUGGCUUACCGAGGCAGCCGCAGAACCUCAAGAUCUGGCUGGCAACCGCCUGUAAUGUGAUGCUGUCGCUUGUGUUACCAGAGUGGUUACGUGAUUGCCCGUAACAAAUGUUCUACCUCUAGGUGCAUGUUGGAAUACGUAAUGGUUUACUCUUAACAAUUUGAACUAACUAUUGACAAAAUGUACUGGAUAUUUUUACCCAAUUUAUUUGAUGCCGUAGACUUUUUUUUUAUAUGUAACCUUAUACAUUUUUUUUUUAUAGCAGCAAAUCGGGUAUUUUUUAACUUUAACAAAAAAAUAAUAAGCUUUGCGUUUUUAAUAACCUCGUAUUUGAUAUUUUUAUUGUUUUAAAACUUGCGUGAUGUCAUUGACAGUAGCAACUUCUUGACAUCACAGAAUUUUAACCACAACUGGUUUGAUAUAUUUUGACUUUUAUCAGUUAAGUCGCCAAUCAUAGAACUGUCACAAAUCACGAUUACAUCUUCGCAGAAAUUUCAUUACCACUUUCAUAGUCAACACUUGAAGCAUGAGGAAAAGUAGCGAGGAUGAUCAGAUGUUUCUCAUAAAUUGUGACAGUUGACACAAAGG